rnacentral:rRNA from 1 species
GUCUUCUUGAAUGUAUAGGAAGUCUGACCUGCCCGGUGAAUAAGUAUUUAACGGCCGCGGUAUUUUGACCGUGCAAAGGUAGCAUAAUCAUUAGUCUUUUAAUAGAGGGCUGGAAUGAAGGGUUUGACGAAAUGCUUACUGUCUCAUUUAAUUUGAAAUUUGAAUUUGACUUUUUAGUUAAAAGGCUAAAUUGUUGUUGGAAGACGAGAAGACCCUAUAGAGCUUUAUAUUUUAAAAUUUAAAAGAUUUUUGUUUAAUUAUUAUUUUUUAAAUGGAAAAAUAUUUUGUUGGGGUGACAAAAAUAUAGAAUAAACUUUUUUAUUUAUUUAACAUUGAUAUAUGAAUAUUAGAUCCAUUAUUAUUGAUUGUUAGAGAAAGUUACCUUAGGGAUAACAGCGUAAUCUUCCUCCAGAGUUCAAAUUUACAGGAAGGCUUGCGACCUCGAUGUUGGAUUAAGAUAAUAAUUAGGUGCAGCCGCUUAAUUAAUAGGUCUGUUCGACCUUUAAAUUCUU